AUGAGAAAACAAGAGCUGGAGCCCAGCCAAAAAAAGGAGAGCUUGCUGGUGAUUCAUUGGACCAGACCACACAAGAUCCCCCCACCCCAAUGGGAGAUAAUAAGGCCAUUUAUAUGGGUGUCAGUGGACAGGAAGCACGACCAUAUCUGGACUCUGAAGGGCAGACAAUCAAGUCUUCAGAAGAAAAUGUUGGAAGAAACCACACAGACUUUUAUUGUGAUGAAUGCUGUCUGGUGGGAUGCUAUCCCUUUAAACGUCUGCCGGCGGGACAGCCUAACGAGUGGUGAUGUCAAGCUACCAAAUUCCAAGCCUCACUAAUCACCGUGAUUUAAACGUUCAUUUCCUAUGCCAAAUGUGAGGACGUGACGCUGGCUGGUGUCUCUAGGGAAGCCCACUCUGGGAUGUGAGCACAGAUGCCCAAUGGUUCAAGCAUGCAAACACAAUGAAGCAAUGAAAAUGCAAACACGCACAAGUGAAAAGCAAUUUUUGUUAAAGGCAAGCCACACUGACCUUCCAUAUUCUAGCUCUAACCCUCACAACCCUAUCAGCUGUUACCUCUGUCUGUUUACCAUAUCUUUCCCUAUCUCACCUUUCUGAAAGAUUAAAAUCUUCUCUGCACUGCUGCCAGGUGUACGCCUUGCCAAUUAAAAUUCAAUCCAAUCGCCUGGCGCCUAUAAAGGCCUCUUAUUUGAGGAGAGAGAGAGUGUUUUCCCCACCAUGUGAUCUGGGGAGGUUAAUGCAGUUAGAGUUAUUUCACAGUCCAUUAAGGAGCUUAUGUUGACCUUGUGACCUCUGAGCCAACAACACCGAAUCCAUUAUCAUCACAAUGGAAUAGCUGCCGGUCCAGUUGACAUGACAAUGGGCCCAGGAAAUCCCACGUUAGCACUUAGCAACGGUGAAAAGGCAGACACCUUUUUUUCCCCCUCUUCCUCUCUUCUGUCUUUCUCUGCUUUCGGGUUUAGCUAUUAAUAUAGCCAAACUGUAAUUUGUAUCAUUAUCAUUCAAAAGGCACCGAGAAGGACAAUAAAAUGGCCAUGCAAAGUGAUGAAAAGUGCUGACGUUUGGGGUUUUUGCAGCGUUUGAUUCCAUUAGGUGGAAAGCAAACGCUGGUAACUGUUGUACGUGACUGAGUGUGUGAAUGUGACAGGAUGGGAGAUUUGGCGGAGAAAUCUAGCGGCAGAUGAAGUUAUCAUGUUCAGGGGGGAAGUUGGUGACAUGAACUUCCUGCUGUGAUCUUGUUAUGUUUGAUGACAGCUCGGGGAGAUGAAAAAGAAUUGAUUGAGGUGCACGCAGAGUUGAGUGCACUUUUAGCAAAGUCUAAUUGAGAUAUAAAAAGAUUAUCAAAGAAAAAAGACAGAUGUUGUCACUUCACAGAAGAUGUCGGAAACAGCUUACGCAAGAUAAAAAC
rnacentral:lncRNA from 1 species